UCUCUCUCUCUCUCUCUCUCUCUCUCUUGUCACAAUUUAUUAAUUGUGAUCAAAUUAACCAAACGAAUGCGGGUUUAACCCAAACUGAAUUUCUGGUUAACUGGUUAGUUUAUCAAUCGUUUACACGUUCACAAGGAAACGAAAACAAUUUACUUGAUUUUUACUUUCAUUUCUAUUAUUAUAUGUUGAUGAUUAUCUAAUUAAUUGAAGAGGUUCAUGAUGAUUAUGAUGAUGAUCAUCAAGAAGAUGAUGAUAAAGGAAAAGAUGAUAACUUUUCUUCCAACGGGACACUUUAAGUAAAUUCUAAAAAGGAUUUUCAAUCUACAAUUAAGUUGGUUGAUUGUUGCAGUUGAUCUGGUCGAUGAUCAACAAAUCAUCGUAAUCAAAUGAUGACAAUAACCUUAAAUCCACCAACAAUCAAUUAGUAAAUUGUAGAAAUUAAUUGUGACCUUUUUUUGUGAGGCUAUUAAAAAACGUGAUUCCGAUGAUUAAGUUAUCAACAAUUUGCCU